AGAAACAUAGAUCAACUUGUUGAUUCUUGAACAUCGUCGCACAGCUUGUAAUACUUUGGCAUCUGUAAAUAUCAACGAUUCCAUAAGGUAUUGCACUAUAAAGAAUUAAGACUUACGGCAUCCUGGCCUUGGUGGAUCUAAAAUGGCGACGACCUGUGAUUCUUGAGCUUCCAGAGUAGACGUUGUUUUCACCAGAACAUCCUCGGCUUUGCCACAUUGGUAUUCGACGUUACUUAUACCUAGAGAAAAUGGGGAAACAGCCAUUCGCGGUAUGUUGUAUUCUGUGAGGGAACGGUUAUCAAACCGCAUACCGUUCAGUUCAGCAUUGAACUUUGCAUCUGCAAUUGCUUCCUCACAUAACUCAAUGCCUAUCACUCGUUUUGCGUUCUAUAUUCAAUACAACAACUCGUGAGCGUUAUUUGAAAUGAGAUAGUAAAGAUUGUAAUCAACACAUCUUUUGUCUUUUACCUUCGCAAUAGUUAAACCAAUAGUUCCUGUACCACAGCAUACAUCUGAAAAAUUCAGGAAAGAAUUGGCAAAAGUAACAUGGACAUUAUUAAGGCUUUAGUCGAUAUUUUCGUCAAGCCGAUUUACAACUGUUGAAGCACCAUUAAAGGUCUGAAUUUUUAUAAUCUGUCAUUACAUAUCGCAACCUGUAGCAUAACAAAACCCCUAAACUAUAUAUAAUACUGUUCUGGAGUCGAACUAUGAGAAAAAUCUUACCAAAUUUGAUACACUAAUUUCA